AGUUGCGGGAAUCGUUUAUAAUUUGUAUAGUGGCUCAUCAUUAACGAUAGAUACAAUACCAUAUUUAAAAAAAAUGAAAAUCGAACUUCCGAAGAUUGUUCUGUUAAGUAAAUGGACAAUAUGAAUAAACUGGAUAGUGUGAACGUCUUUUUAUAGACGACACAGUCC